AGCCUUCUGUAUCCGUGCUGAGAUUUCGUCACAUACCAGACUACAAAAGAUGAUGC
rnacentral:pre_miRNA from 1 species